GGUCUGGUGUGUUGUUGCAUUAAGAGUUUGGACUGUUUUAAUCCGUCUCUGUGUUUUAGAGGUCAGCGUGUGUGUGUGUGUGUGUGUGUGUGUGUCUGUGUCUGUGUGUGUGUGUGUGUGUCUGUGUGUGUGUGUGUGUGUGUGUGUGUGUGUGUGUGUGUGUGUGUGUGUGUGUGUGUCUGUGUGUGUGUGUGUGUGUGUGUGUGUGUCUGUGUGUGUGUGUGUGUGUGUGUGUGUCUGUGUCUGUGUGUGUGUAUGUGUGUCUGUGUGUGUGUGUGUGUGUGUGUGUGUGUGUGUGUGUGUGUGUGUGUGUGUGUGUGUGUGUGUGUGUGUGUGUGUGUGUGUGUGUGUGUGUGUGUGUGUGUGUGUGUGUGUGUGUGUGUGUUGUGUCUGGAGCUCCUGUGUUCACC